rnacentral:rRNA from 1 species
UACGAAGGGGGCUAGCGUUGCUCGGAAUCACUGGGCGUAAAGCGCACGUAGGCGGAUCUUUAAAGUCAGGGGUGAAAUCCCAAGGCUCAACCUUGGAACUGCCUUUGAUACUGGGGAUCUCGAGUCCGGAAGAGGUGAGUGGAACUGCGAGUGUAGAGGUGAAAUUCGUAGAUAUUCGCAAGAACACCAGUGGCGAAGGCGGCUCACUGGUCCGGUACUGACGCUGAGGUGCGAAAGCGUGGGGAGCAAACAGGG